UUUCCGUAGGUGAACCUGCGGAAGGAUCAUUACAGAGUUCAUGCCCUCACGGGUAGAUCUCCCACCCUUGAAUAUUUAUACCUUAGUUGCUUUGGCAGGCCGUGGAAACACCAUGGGCUCCGGCUUAUGCGUGCCUGCCAGAAGAAACAAACUCUGUUUUUAGUGAUGUCUGAGUACUAUAUAAUAGUUAAAACUUUCAACAACGGAUCUCUUGGUUCUG
rnacentral:misc_RNA from 1 species